rnacentral:rRNA from 1 species
UACGUAGGGUGCAAGCGUUAAUCGGAAUUACUGGGCGUAAAGCGUGCGCAGGCGGUUUUGUAAGUCUGACGUGAAAUCCCCGGGCUCAACCUGGGAAUUGCGUUGGAGACUGCAAGGCUAGAGUGUGGCAGGAGGGGGGUGGAAUUCCACGUGUAGCAGUGAAAUGCGUAGAGAUGUGGAGGAACACCGAUGGCGAAGGCAGCCCCCUGGGCCAAUACUGACGCUCAUGCACGAAAGCGUGGGGAGCAAACAGG